AUGUAGCUCAGAGGUAGAGCACUUCGUAGCAUGUGAGAGGCCCUGGGUUAGAUUCCCAGCAU
rnacentral:tRNA from 1 species